GUUUAAAAUGUGGUAUGAAGCUAUGGUGCCACAGCAAGGUACAAAUUCCAGGAUUUCAUAGGAUGGAGCCAGGAGAGUUAAAGAAGGUGCUGUUAAUGACUGGAGCUCUUGGAAGUCUCUCAUUCAUAGGAUCAGCAGAAGUCAAAGGUUUCUGAUUGUUAUGAUGGAUCCUGUUGGGCCUCUCAGCCUCCUCAGAUUUACCAAGUAUGUCAUGUCUGUGAUGUACCUGUUGAUGUAUCUGCCAUCACCUCCUUUGUAGCCAACCUACUUGGAUAAAUCUCUCCUGCAUGCCAUUCUAUGAGAGAUUCCCAUUCAAGAACUUUACAGAGUGGUCAUCUAUGUUCGGCCCUUGGUAUUUAAAGGAUCAAUAGAAGAUGUUUGAACCUUCUCAGAUUCUCAGCUUGUGCCAUCAGGGGCUAUUGAAUUGUACAGAAAGACAGCAAUAGGACUAUACUGAAUUAUACAAAUGGAGAGUUCAUGCCACCCUGACUUAAUGGAUCCCCAAAGUAUGAUUAAUCUUACUGCUAUUGUUGUUGUUGUCAUGAUGAAGCUGCAUGAAAUUUAAGAUCGUCAGUGGAGGCCCUGUUGUGUGCCUCUUCACAUUGAAAGAGUAAGUUGGUAAGGGCAUAUGAUAGGACUUUCUCUGUAGUGGCACCUUAAUAGCUGAAACAUCCCUGGCUGCAUCCCUCUUGAGUUUCUAACAGGCACCUCAGACUAUUAUUGCAUGUGGCCUUAGAGCUUAAAGAGCAGAAUGUAUUAACAUUUGUUUGACUACAGAAGCCAGUGUGGUGUAAUAGUUUGAACAUUGGACUGUGACUCUGGAAACCA